CUUCCAGUAGCACCUUAGAGACCAACUAAGUUUGUUAUUGGUAUGAGCUUUCGUGUGCGUCUGAAGAUGUGUGCAUGCAUACCAAAGCUCAUACCAAUAACAAACUUAGUUGGUCUCUAAGGUGCUACUGGAAG